UCAUCGAAUCUACAUCCAGGCUGUUACCACCAAUCAUCCGUAAGGAGCUCGUAUUAGUUUGAUCAAAACAACACCAACAAACCAGAAAAACGUGAAGGAGGAGCCAGAAAAUCCCAUGGGGUUCACCUGUGAUGGAAACAUGCCAGUCAGUCAGCCAUGCCAGGUGUCCAAAGCUCAGCACCUACAAAGGAGUAGAACCCAGACUCCCACUGCUUGAACCCGCCUACUACGUAUUUCUAGGAAUGUCAUCGCUGAACGGGAAAAAAAAAAAUCAAGAACAAAAACAAACACAAAACUAGACAAAAACAGGACAAUAAAGUGAAAUUGGAAUCUGUUAAUACUAAAUCAUGCCGCAGUCCAAAUACAAAAGGCAUUUUACACCAGAAGACUGCCGAUUUUAAAGUGAGCUUUUUCAAGAACCCAGAAGUUUCCAUCCCUGCCAAGCCCAGAUUCCUACUAAUCAAAAUCAAGGCACAAACUCUCUCUUUGAGUUUUGCUAAUGAAAACCAGAGCUCCUCUUGACAACGCAAGUUUCUUCUGGAGGCUAAACCAAAACCCCCAACUUCUGUGCGUAAACUCACCUCCGUCUGCUGGAAAACAAAUGUUGGCUAACGUCAAGCCAUGUUACGUAGUUCACUCUCAACCAACACUCCUUUUCACAUAUGGCGUUGUCGGCCUAUGUCUUCCCAGCCGGAAGCAGUUGAACCUGUGCUUGGGACCUCACAUUUACCCAACGUAUUGAUUCUGUUAAAAUCAGACCCCGCACCCUCUCAUUUGCACCCUUCGGGAUAUUGAUUUUUAUCUCCAUCAUGCUUACUAGGCUGCCAGCUUCAAGUUGUACAUUAAUUUAAUAAACCUCUUUCCAAAUGUUCAUGCAAAUCACAGAUUAAAAGGAAAAAAAAUCAUAAGGCAAGGGCAAAGCUCCAAAGCAUGUCACUAGACACUUUCCACCGGAUUAACAUUUACUUUUAAAUCAGUCCCUUUAAAAAU